rnacentral:rRNA from 1 species
ACGGGAGGCAGCAGUGGUGGAUAUUGCACCAUGGAGGAAACUCUGAUGCAGCAACGCCGCGUGAGGGAAGAAGGUUUUCGGAUUGUAAACCUCUGUUUUUAGUGAAGAAACAAAUGACGGUAGCUAAAGAGGAAGCCACGGCUAACUACGUGCCAGCAGCCGCGGUAAUACGUAGGUGGCAAGCGUUGUCCGGAUUUACUGGGUGUAAAGGGUGCGCAGGCGGGACUGCAAGUUGGAUGUGAAAAUCCGAGGCUCAACCUCGGAACUGCAUCCAGAACUGUGGUGCUUGAGUGGAGCAGAGGUAAGCGGAAUUCCGAGUGUAGCGGUGAAAUGCGUAGGUAUACGGAGGAACACCAGUGGCGAAGGCGGCUUACUGGGCUCUAACUGACGCUGAGGCACGAAAGUGUGGGUAGCAAACAGGAUUAGAUACCCUGGUA